UACAGAGGGUGCGAGCGUUGUCCGGAAUCACUGGGCGUAAAGGGCGCGUAGGUGGCGCGACAAGUCCGUGGUGAAAGCUCGGAUGCUCAACAUCGAGUCGGCCACGGAUACUGUUGGGCUGGAGCACUGUAGAGGCAGAUGGAAUUCCGGGUGGUAGCGGUGGAAUGCGUAGAGAUCCGGAAGAACACCGGUGGCGAAGGCGGUCUGCUGGGGCAGUUGCUGACACUGAUGCGCGGACA
rnacentral:rRNA from 1 species